rnacentral:rRNA from 1 species
GCCCUAGUAACGGCGAGUGAAGCGGCAACAGCUCAAAUUUGAAAUCUGGCCUUCUUUGGGGGUCCGAGUUGUAAUUUGCAGAGGGUGCUUUGGUGUUGACAGCGGUCUAAGUUCCUUGGAACAGGACGUCACAGAGGGUGAGAAUCCCGUACGUGGUCGCUUGCCUCCGCCGUGUAAAGCCCCUUCGACGAGUCGAGUUGUUUGGGAAUGCAGCUCUAAAUGGGAGGUAAAUUUCUUCUAAAGCUAAAUACUGGCCAGAGACCGAUAGCGCACAAGUAGAGUGAUCGAAAGAUGAAAAGCACUUUGGAAAGAGAGUCAAACAGCACGUGAAAUUGUUGAAAGGGAAGCGCUUGCAGCCAGACUUGCCCGUAGUUGCUCACCUGGACUUUUGACCAGGGCAUUCUUCUGCGGGCAGGCCAGCAUCAGUUUGGGCGACCGGAUAACGGCCUCUGUCAUGUAUCUUCCUUCGGGAUGACCUUAUAGGGGAGGCGUAAUGCGGCCAGCCCGGACUGAGGUCCGCGCAUCUGCUAGGAUGCUGGCGUAAUGGCUGUAAGCGGCCCGUCUU